rnacentral:pre_miRNA from 1 species
CCACUGCAGCUACCACCUCAAGACCAUCAAGGACCUGCAGGACAAGAUUCUUGGUGCUACCAUUGAGAACUCUUAAGAUUGUCUUGCAGACUGACAGUGCCUUUCUGGCUGUGGAUG